GAUGAACGCUGGCGGCGUGCCUAAUACAUGCAAGUCGAACGAACAGACGAGGCGCUUGCUCCUCUGACGUUAGCGGCGGGGGGGUGAGUAACACGUGGAUACCCUCCCUAUAAGACUGGUAUCAUUUCGGGAAACCGGCGCUAAUACCAGAUAAUAUAUUGAACCGCAUGGUUCAAUAGUGAAUGUCGGUUUUGCUGUCACUUAUAGAUGGAUCCGCGCCGCAUUAGCUAGUUGGUACGUUAACGGGUUACGAAGGCGACGAUGCGUAGACGACGUGAGAGGGGGGUAGGCCACCCUGGAACGGAGACACAGUCCAGACUCCUGCGGGAGGCAGCAGUAGGGAAUCUGACGCAAUGGGCGAAAGCCUGACGGAGCAACGCCGCGUGAGUGAUGAAGGUCUUCGGUGCGUAAAACUCUGUUAUUAGGGAAGAACAAAUGUGUAAGUAACUAUGCACGUCUUGACGGUACCUGAUCAGAAAGCACCGGCUAACUACGUG
rnacentral:rRNA from 1 species